GGCUGCACCGCCCUUUCGGCGGGCGCGGGGUGGCGGGAGCGGAGCUCCGGCCGUUCCUCAGCGGGACCAGGACCGGGACCUGGACCAGCUUUGGCCUCUCCCGCUGUCCUCAGCGGGGAGCUCUGGGUUCUUCAGGCGCAGGAAACCGCUGCUGGUUGAGGCGGCUCCACAGCUGCGCCUUCUCGCGCCAUAUUAUGGUGAGGCUCCCUCAGGGCCGCUUCUCUCCGGCCCCGGCGCUGAGCGGCUGCGGCGGGAGGACCCGAGUGAGCUUGGCAGUGGACAAAAAAUGAAGUGACCACGAUGGGGUGACUUCAGAAAUGAAGGGGUGAGCCUUCUCAAAAAGGCUGCCCAAGCAAGCUUCAACCACGUUUUUAACUAGGCAGCCCUGAGCCGUGGCAGAGCCGGAGGUGCCCCAGACCGAGUGACUUGAGAGCAGGACAGCUCAGGAACGUGCCUCAAAUAUUGAAGAUCAUGCCUUGAGUUGCAGAAUGUCUGACAAACGUGGCAACUGAAAACUGGCUGGCAGCAUCCACGUCUGAUGGUUUGGUUCUAAAACUUGAUCAUCUGUGUUUUCUCUACAUGGUUAAGAAGGAUUUAAAUUAAAAAAAAAAACUAAAUAAAGAUGCCACCUACAAGACUGAAA